GCACGUACUCCGGCCGCUCAGACUCGCGGAGUUCCUGACCACCAGUCUUCUGAAAUAAAUCUGUCAUGGAACGAAGUUGAUCACAGCUACGCUUUACGUCAUGGUGCUGCUCCUGCUCAAGAGUCCAGCGGGGACGUUGCUGCCAUGGAGAUUUUGGUUUCUUCACCGUCGCCUAGAGACUAUCUCUCUGGCUGCGCUGCUGAGCCUUCUUACAAAUCACCCGGCAAAAGCGGCAGCAUCGACAAGAAGGAGGUGAACACCCUGAGAACCAAGGUGCGACAGCUUCAAGAGCGUAACAAGAGGCUGAAAAGAAGGCUGCAACGGCAACGUCAGAUGAGGACUGU